rnacentral:rRNA from 1 species
AGCAGCCGCGGUAAUUCCAGCUCCAAUAGCGUAUAUUAAAGUUGUUGCAGUUAAAAAGCUCGUAGUUGAAUUUCGGGAUCAAAUUGUCGGUCGUGCCUUGGUACGUACUGGUAUUAUAGGUUCCUACCUUCUGAAGAACCGCGAUGUCAUUAAUUUGGUGUCGUGGGGAAUCAGGACUGUUACUUUGAAAAAAUUAGAGUGUUUAAAGCAGGCUUACGCUUGAAUACAUUAGCAUGGAAUAAUGAAAUAGGACGUUUGAUUCUAUUUUGUUGGUUUCUAGGAUUGACGUAAUGAUUAAUAGGGAUAGUUGGGGGCGUUAGUAUUCAAUUGUCAGAGGUGAAAUUCUUGGAUUUAUUGAAGACUAACUACUGCGAAAGCAUUUGCCAAGGAUGUUUUCAUUAAUCAAGAACGAAAGUUAGGGGAUCGAAGACGAUCAGAUACCGUCGUAGUCUUAACCAUAAACUAUGCCGACUAGGGAUCGGAUGAUGUUAAUUUUUUAAUGACUCA